rnacentral:lncRNA from 1 species
AAAAACCCAAAAAAGUGGAAAGGGGAAAAACUGUAUCUUCUUAUUCUUCUUCCCAUCCCUUCCUCCACCUACCCAGCCCCACUAUUAAAGCAAUGCCCAUCAAUACCAAACGAGUUUCGCUGUCCAAUAUCUGGUGCUUUAAUAGCGGAUCCUAUUAUAGUAUCCUCUGGCCACACUUUUGAAUGGAAUUGCAUUCAUGCUUGCAUUUCACUCUCCUUUAAACCCAAAUUGCCAGAUGGUUCCAACCCCGAUUUCUCCACCAUCAUACCCAAUCUUGCCUUUAAGUCCACCAUCUUCAAUUGGUGCCGGACCCAUCUCAUCGACACACCUAAACCCAUUGAUUUCUACUCAGUCGAAAAACUCGUCAGUACAUUAAUUCACCACAAUAGUGUAGAGAUUGGCACUAAGUUGACUCGGACACCAAGACAGCUGUCGGUAACUAGUUCGAAAGAAUUGGUGAAGCCCAGAAACAGGUUCCCCACUCCCUUGCCGCUGAAAACUCUACCCGCUUGUUAUUCAUCGUCCUCUUCCUCAGAUAUGGAAAUCUUAAAUUCUCACUCACUGGAAGAUGAAG